AACUGAUACUACCUGCGGGAACCUGCGGAAGGAUCAUUACCAAGAGAAAUCUUUCAACACUGAAAGAUCUUUUCCUUUGUGCUGGCUUUGACCGUAUGUAAUUUUGGGACUUUAAAAUGGUUCGCAAGGGCCGGUCCCAAAAACAAUAUAUCAUCCUUAUGAAAUUUUUUCUGAACAAUUAAACAAAUGAUUUUAAUAAUCUGUUUAAAACAACUUUUAACAAUGGAUCUCUAGAUCGGA
rnacentral:misc_RNA from 1 species